rnacentral:rRNA from 1 species
AACUUAAGCAUAUCAAUAAGCGGAGGAAAAGAAACUAACAAGGAUUCCCCUAGUAGCGGCGAGCGAACAGGGAUUAGCCCAAAACCGAAUCCUGCAGUUCACGCUGUCUGGAAAUGUGGUUUUUGGUUCAACAUCUACAGUUUGCUGGAGGUGCCUUAAGUCCACGUGAUUGUGGCUUCAAGUCCACAGAGGGUGUAAGACCCGUACAGGCAAUACAGCAUACAUAGAUGUUGUUCCUCGAGUAGGGUUGUUUGGGAAUGCAGCCCGAAUCGGGUGGUAAACUCCAUCCAAGGCUAAAUACAACACGAGUCCGAUAGUAAACAAGUACCAUGAGGGAAAGUUGAAAAGAACUUUGAAGAGAGAGUUCAAUAGUACGUGAAACCGCAUAAUGAGAAACGGGCAGGGCCGAAGGGCGGAUUGUAUAUUUGUACUACGUUCAAGAUGUGCGUUGGUGUCUGGGAUGGGCUUAAACCACUCAGUCUGAUGCAUUUUCUAGUGCGCUGUGCUCUUGUGCUUUCCGGACACCAUGAUCAGUAGUAACGCUGGCUUGUCAUGUUUGGUGAGGUAACUCGGGACUUAUCUCGAGUUUUAUAUACCAGAUGUGCAAUGCCAGCUGGAUACUGUUUUGCUGUGCAGUUCAUUGCGACGUACAUGUUAGAUAUGGUCUGAAGGUGUGGCGCUGGCUCAUUUAGAGACUUUGCUAUGUCCGGAUGCCUAUGUUUAGCCUCUGUAUGGUGCACUAGUAAUCCAUGGUGCAGUUGUAGGCAUCCUGCCUGACCCGUCUUGAAACACGGACCAAGGAGUUUAACAUGUGCGCGAGUCAUUGGGUCGUACGAAACCUAAAGGCGAAGUGAAAGUAAAGGCGUGUACUCUACAGGCCUAGGUAGGAUCCCGGUUAUAAUGUCUCGUACAUGGGCUGGGCGCACUACCAGCUCGUCCCAUGCUUUAUGAAGUGGGGCGACGCAAUAGCGCACAUGUUAAGACCCGAAAGAUGGUGAACUAUGCUUGUGUAGGUCGAAGCCAGAGGAAACUCUGGUGGAAGACCGUAGCGAUUCUGACGUGCAAAUCGAUCGUCAAACAUGAGUAUAGGGGCGAAAGACUAAUCGAACCAUCUAGUAGCUGGUUCCCUCCGAAGUUUCCCUCAGGAUAGCUGGCACUCGGGAAACAAACAGUUUUAUCCGGUAAAGCGAAUGAUUAGCAGUAUUGGGGACGACAUGUCCUCAACUGAUUCUCAAACUUUAAAUGGGUGAGAUGCUCAACUCUCUUAUUUGGAGUUGGGCUAACUGAAUGUGAGUGCCUAGUGGGCCAUUUUUGGUAAGCAGAACUGGCGCUGUGGGAUGAACUAAACGUCUGGAUAAGGAGCCAAACCCAACGCUCAUGAGAUACCACAAAAGGUGUUGGUUGAUAUUGACAGCAGGACGGUGGCCAUGGAAGUUGGAAUCCGCUAAGGAGUGUGUAACAACUCACCUGCCGAAUCAACCAGCCCUGAAAAUGGAUGGCGCUUGAGCGUUGGUCCUAUACCAGACCGUUACCGCGAACUGCAAAGUAUGCGGUAACGAGUAGGAGGGGCGCCGUGGUAAGCGUUGAAGCCCUGUGCCGUGAGGUUGGGUGGAGCUGCCACGGGUGCAGAUCUUGGUGUAGUAGCAAAUAUUCAAGUGAGAACCUUGAAGACUGAAGUG